UACGUAGGGUGCAAGCGUUAAUCGGAAUUACUGGGCGUAAAGCGUGCGCAGGCGGUUAUGUAAGACAGUUGUGAAAUCCCCGGGCUCAACCUGGGAACUGCAUCUGUGACUGCAUAGCUAGAGUACGGUAGAGGGGGAUGGAAUUCCGCGUGUAGCAGUGAAAUGCGUAGAUAUGCGGAGGAACACCGAUGGCGAAGGCAAUCCCCUGGACCUGUACUGACGCUCAUGCACGAAAGCUAGGGGAGCGAAUGGG
rnacentral:rRNA from 1 species